rnacentral:hammerhead_ribozyme from 1 species
AUCCAGCUAAUGAGUCCCAAAUAGGACAUAGCGCGCGUACUGGAU